rnacentral:rRNA from 1 species
UACGUAGGGUGCAAGCGUUAAUCGGAAUUACUGGGCGUAAAGCGUGCGCAGGCGGUUGUGCAAGACAGAUGUGAAAUCCCCGGGCUCAACCUGGGAAUUGCAUUUGUGACUGCAUCGCUGGAGUGCGGCAGAGGGGGAUGGAAUUCCGCGUGUAGCAGUGAAAUGCGUAGAGAUGUGGAGGAACACCGAUGGCGAAGGCAGCCCCCUGGGUCAAGAUUGACGCUCAUGCACGAAAGCGUGGGGAGCAAACAGG